CGUCGCUCCUACCGAUUGAAUGAUCCGGUGAAAUGUUCGGAUCGCGGCGACGUGGGCGGUUCGCUGCCCGCGACGUCGCGAGAAGUCCAUUGAACCUUAUCAUUUAGAGGAAGGAGAAGUCGUAACAAGGUUUCCGUAGGUGAACCUGCGGAAGGAUCAUUG
rnacentral:ncRNA from 1 species